AAUUACACUGAUUGAUUACGUGUAUGGAUCGGGUGGGGGCAUCACCAGUGUUUUAUUUAUACCUCUUUUCAUCUGUUCUCAGAUAUUUUUCAUGCCUUCCUCUUUCUCUCUCUUUUCUUCAAUAGCUUUUUCUGUAACAAUUUCAUCGUCUCCUUCUAAAAACCAGGUCUCAUAUCAUCUUUUACACGUUAUCUCUCAUCUGUCUAUUCGAUUUUUCAUUGAUUUUGAUACUAUCCUUCGUCAAUGGAUUUGCAUUUUUGUGAAUUUAAGUUUACGUAUAUGCACAUCCGGAGCUCCUUUUCACGUUUACUGCUGGUUCCUUCGCUGUAAUUUGUUGCUCGAAGCUAUGAUUACCUUUCAGUUUGAGGUACUAGUUUGUCGAAGGAUGGACUUUGAUUAAAGGAAUGCGUGCGCUUGCCUUUCAGAAGGACAUUUAUCACAGGAUGGUCUUUGACUGGUCUAACACAGAUCGUGAGGUAAGUUUUUGAAGUUUAAUAUAAUAAUUAAAUGGAGGAAUCUAAGAGGUACACAUUGCUUGACUGCCAUGUCUCCUCCAAUAAAAUUUAGUAUUACAGUUUUGCUCCAAUGAACUUGCGUGUAGUUUAGUUUUCUAAGUACUAAAUUUGAGAUGCUUUAUGGUUUUGUGUUUCCCUCUGUAUACAUUCUUUUCUAAAGUAUCUGCAUGAUGGUGGUGUUAUCUUAUUAUUGAAGCAGAAAACUAGGUGUUUAAUCUUUUAAUCUAAGUUAUACUGAAAUAAAAUUAUGUAUAACCUUUGUCCCAGUAGACCAUCUCAAAGACUUAAAAUUUCUUAAAUGAUGUGUUGCACAUCCUGUGCAAUUUCAUUUCUCUUUAUUUCAUUUAUCUUUACAUAAAUAGCAGGGUUCCUUCAUCAUAACACAACACUAAAGUUAGAUUUUUAAUCAUUUUCAAACCAAAGUCUUUUAACUGAAAGGUAUGUGGUUUACAUACCACAUCUCACUAAUAGAAGCAUAACUUGCAAUGUUGAUAGAAAACGAGCAACAGCUUUCCCACUUUGUUGCAUAUACUUCGUUAUUGCAAUUGUAGUCUGCUGCAUUUUCCAAGGAAAAUAAUUUGUGAUCAAAAUUGUUGGAAAGUACUUGGUAUUAGUAAUUUAAACAUCUAUUGGGAUGGAGGAACCAUACCCCAAUUUUGUUGCUCUUGCUGGUGUCUCAUAAUUUUGUUGCUGAGGCUGGCUAAGCUGGAGAUGGACAGGCACAUGCGAAUCCUCGCCAACGCCUAGAUUGCUGGUAAGCAGUGAGUUUCUGUUUGCUCCAUUCACAUCCCUUGUACCAUAGACCUGGUAUGUGUAAUUUUUCUGUUUGAGGGUGGUUUUAUAACAUCUUCCAACUUGACAAAGGUUUAUGAUUGAAUCAUACAAGAAUAUUAAGGAUGAUUGAACUUUGUGUUAUUUAAAACUAUACCUUAUUCAAUUCGAUGUUUUCUUGACGAAUUAGGUUUACCUUCUUAUAGAGUUCCACAUUUUCCUGGUGAAUGAGAUUCCCCUACAACAAAGAAGAUGGAUUUUUACUUCUCGAAUUUAAAUGGAAAGAUUGAAGAAAUCAUUAGCCAUUUUCUUGGAUUCACCUUUCGGUUUAGUUCAUGUAUUUCAUCCAUUAGAAUCUGGUCCUGCAAAAAAAAAUAUAUAUAAACUAGUAAGAGUGUUAUGCUUUAUAUGCCAAGUAAUUGGAGUUUUACUCAUUGUAUGGGAGAUAAGAUUUGUAAACCUUUUUCAUACGAACACCUCGAAGACUCAUUUCCAAUUGGCUGUCCAAAUUCUGCAGAUCCUUUACACUCAAACCAGAAAGCUCUUCACCCAUCAUUUGCCUGUUAGUCAUAUGGACAUAUAGCUUAGGCCUUUAAAUGUAUGUAUGUUCAAUGUUCAGUUUUUUGUUCUCAAGGUCACAAAUGAAUUCACCCAUUAAUGCAUCUUCUAUUCUUGGAGUACUAUCGGUGUUGAUAAUGUUUUAGUUAUGUCCUAUUGAAGCAUUUUAGACUUGUAGUGGUAGCUUCUGUUCAUCAAUUUAGGUUAUCUUUCACUAUCAUAUUCCGGAUCAGCUUCAUUUUUGCCUUGCCAGUUAGUGAAAAGUUGCUUAAAGUUCUGUUUCUUUUCUAUCAUGUCAUGGGAAAUUGCUACCUUUUAACUGUUAAUAUGCAACCACAAUUUCAUACGUAGUAAAGUAUUCUAGCUCAAUCUAGUAAACGAUGAGAUAUCCAUCCUAGCUGUAGCGUUGUUUUUGUCCAUGCUUAUAUUUCCUUGAAGAUUGACUCUGAACUUGUUUUCUAUGUGGAUUCUAGAUCCUUAAGUUUGUACUUUACUCCUGGAUAUUAUAAAUAUUUCUAGAGGUGUAUGUAAGGUUUAUGCACGCAGAGCUUCAUGUGCUGAGAAGUCUCAGAGGCUAGACUGUGUUGAGGAUUGAAAUUUAAUGUGCUAACAAAAAUCACCCACAUGUGAACUUAGUGAAAUGAUAGUUAUAAUAAGAAAGAAGAUCAUACCGAUGAUUUUCUUGCAAACUCUGCAACUGUUGCCUUAAUAUUGCCACUUCUUGUUGCCAGAACUAGAAGUAAGAUACAAAAUGGUUUGAUAUUCUAGGAUUUCUGGUUAGCAUAAUUACAUUAUGAACAACUGAUAAUGACUAAUAAAUCUUAUGUCAAGGAACACUAUUUAACACAUCUGAAAAGAUAGUUUCUGUUAAUUGAUGAAUUGCAUGUUUGAUUUUGAAUCCAAAGCUUACCGAACUGAACAAUGCAUGUACAAUAUCAAAUGCUUAUAAGAAUGCAUUUUGUGUUUAUACUCAUAAUGCAAGAUUGAGCUUUGACUCUUGAUUUUUCCCACAUCUUCUCUUCUUCAUUCUGGAUCAAUAUUUAUGUGAACAAUUUGUAAACUAAGAUAUGAAAUUUCAGGCUAACCUUAUUAAUUAGCUAAUAUUAAUGUUUCAACCAUCACAGCAGUAAAGUUUUGGGGUUUUAUAAAACAACUUUUUCAGCUCCAUUAUCCUCCAGGUGUCAGAUGUCUUACAUGGUGUUUAAAAUUUCAAGCUCCGAAUUCAAAAUGAUGUUUUAUCUUGUAGCCACAACCAUUGGUCAAUUCAAAAAGUAGUCUCAAUUGUUGUUUGCUGGCAACCUACUUUAUGGGAUGCAACAAAAUCAUGGAUGACGAUGUUGAUCUUUGCAUGUCAUAUAUGCUGCUAUGCUUUUACAGAAAAACAUUCUUCAUAGGCUAACAACUUAGAUGUUUAAUUUUAUUUCUAUCUUUAAUUUUUUGUCAGCGCAAGCUAAAUAGAUGCUUCUGCACUGCCGUAGAAAUCAUAUCAAGUAUGCAUUGAAGAUGAAAUUACAAAUUACAGUUUAGGCACAGAAUUGAAGAUUACCUUGACUUCAGAGGCUGGGUUCCCUAGUUGAUGAUGGUCUUCUUUUGAUUUGUUGUAACGUUCAAUUAUUGAUUUCAUGCUGGUAUAAGAAUAGUUGAAAUGUUAGAUAAAUGCGGCUGUUUAACUGAGUAGAGACAUCUAAAAGAUAGCAUCAAGAAUCACCAAAAAACAGAAUUUAUAGAAAGCAAAUUGAUAUGCUCUGUUAACAGUAUUAUGUAUGUCUUCUCUUGUGUUCCCUUCCUGCAGAUCUUAAUUUAUUUUGUUCAAAGUUCAUGAAGUUGAAGUCAUGUUACUUAUAGAAACAGCUUGGAGACAUUUCUAAGAAACUUGAAUCUGCAAGUGCAGGUAACAGUUAGAGCACAAUCUGAAAACCUUUUUUUCAAUUUAUUUUAUAUAAUGCCAAGUUUGUUUCAAUAAGUUUGGAGUUGGUCUCUUUUCUUUUAUCUUACUUUUAGUGGCUGAAAAUUUAGAAAACAGUUUACUCUUUUGAAGCUGAUAAAUACGUAUGGGAGCUUCACUGAUUGCCAUUCUGUUGUUUUGUGCAAUUUUCCUUUUCUACAGCUUUACUUUGUUAGAUGCCCCUCUACUCUUCUGUACUGAAGAAAGCUAGUCUAAGUAGCUGAAUUCUUACACUUUUUUCUGGAUGCAGUCAUCAUUAUUGUAAUUUGUGUAACUCUUCAUGAGGUAUACGCAGUGGUAUUUUGAGGAACCAUACAAUAGAUCUAGCUGUCUAUGCAUACGUGACAGGUUUACAGAAUUAUUUGCCUGUCAUUCCACUGAAUUUCCUUUAAAGUACUACAUAAGUUCUUUUAUUAUAACUUUUUGGGUUUAUAUCAUAAGUUGUCCACGUUCUAUGAGCUGUAGUAUUUAAAACUGUCUUGUGGUGUUAAGGAUGAGAAGAAGAGCAACCAAAAAAUAGACAAUCUUGUUCAGAGAUAGAAGAGGAUACGGAUGAAAAAAAUGGUAGAAAAGGUAUGCAUGUCAGUGAAUCUAUUAUAGGUGAUUCAUGCUGCACCAGGGACUUCUAACCAUCUUAUCAUUUCUGUUUUUGUCUUUUCCCUGUGGUUCACCAGGGAACAAUUUGGCUUAAAUCUAGAUCCUCUUAUAGGUGAUUCAUGAUGUGCUCAUGACUUAACCAUCUCAUCAUUUCUGUUUUUGUUGAUUUUUCUGUGAUUGACCAGGAACAAACAAUGUGGAUUAAAGCUGGGUUCCCUUAUAAACUAUGUGAGAUGAUAAAUAGACAAGUUUCGUGUAGCUGAGUUAACAACUGAGAAGGAACAUUAUUGAGGUACUAAUUUGGUUUUAAGAUGGAUGAAAUGCAUGACAGGAGUAUAUUUAUCUUCACUGCCAUAUAUACAGGCUCAUUCAUCAUGCUUUUCUUCUCUGGGGCCUUGCAUGCGUAAAUGUAGAAUCAUUCAGUGAUAUCUUAACUGAAUUUUAUUAUAGCUUAUGUUUUUAGUUAAAUCAGGUUACAGAGUGAUUUGCCUCAUGCAUGAUUGUGAAACUUUUUGCCUAAAGUGAUAUUCUGCUUAUCUUUUCAAGAGUAGUGCAAUUUUUGGUACCAGCACCACAUUCCCUCUCUUUAGUGAACCCAAAUCAGGGAACUCAAUGAGAAACCAAUAAGACCAGCUUUUUUAAUUCAUGUUCUUGGUCCUUACUGAAGCAAUUAAACAGCUUUUUAUUUUUGUAUCUAUUUCACAAGUUCUUAGUUUUAUUGAUGUUUUGUUUGUUUGGGUAUCUUCACCCUCUCCAUGUGUCAUUUUGGUGUGUCUCCCAACCUAACACCUGGAAUCAAAAUUGCUCUUUCUCCUCUGCUUACAAGAGGGACACUGCCAAUAGGCCAAACAGCCAUUGGUACUUUUAUGAAAGUAAAAUAGUUACAAACAUAUAGGUUUCGUCAUAGGAACAACUGAUAUUGUUCUGGGUUCAGUCAUAGCAUCAUUGGUUAAGAAUAUGAGAUUGAAUGAAAAUUCCAACUACUCAUCACUCCUAGAAAUACCCAUAUUACUGUCAUCUGCUUUGCCUAUUUAGUAAUUUUAGAAUAUGAGAAAAAGUACUGCUGCCUCAUCAAUCCUAAGUGUCAUAGUAGUAUCUUGAUUAUAAGCAAAGAGAAAAUCUUGUCAUACAGUAAAUUCAACCUAUAUUUGGAGUUUUUAGAAUACAGGAGAUCACUUUUGUAUACCAUAUUGGUAAAGUUUGUUCAUCAAGUUCCAAACUGUAGCCACCUUAAUUAUCUCAAAAAAAUUGUUUUGGCCAUUAACUGUAACAUAUUUUUUAGCAAAUACUUACUGGUUUUUAGUGAAAGAUGAUGUAAUUCUAUAUGUAAUUAAAGGUUUCUGAGUCAGGUCACUACAUUGCUUUUGUAAACAAAAGAAUAUUACGUGUUGUUUGUUACACUGGAAAGUUGCAUGUUGUAGAGUGUUCCCCGUCAUGUUAUACAGAUAAUAAUCCCUUGAAGGAUAUCAUUAGAUAUUUAUUGUUUAUUGGGCACCCAUAGGCUUUUUUUUUUUUUUGUAAUAAUUUUGAAGUAUGAAUUUAUCUUGAUGCCAAUCAUUAAACCUUUUAGGUUGUUACUAUCAUAUUAACUUUUAUUCAAAGAUAUUUUGUCUGAAUAAAAGAGGUGGAAUCUUUUAUCAUAUGUUUCCUCCCUUAUUUCAGCCCAAUUCUAUCUCAGCCACUAGUCCUCUGUUUCAUCAAAACUUAUCUCUGUCACUACUCCCGUUUCAAUUCACAAGAACUUUACUUCUGUCACUAUAUCACAAUACCACUACCAUCACCACCCUUAUUUCACCAUCAUGGAUUUGACACAAGGAUCUUUGUUUAUCACCAACGCCACAUAUAUAGUUUUUACUUUGUUUGUAUUGUCACAGUCAAUAGUAUGAAAAUGUACAAAAUUGUUAGUUUCAUGUAUUCUUACUUUAAAGAACAAACUUAACACCUAGAAUUAGACAUGAGAAAACAAGAUAAAAGAACAAGAAAAACUAGAUAUUUAAUUUAGAUUUUAUCAUUUAGCCCCCCUUAGACCUAAAAAAAAUAAAUAUUAAAAGUUGACUCUAUGUUUGAUCUUAUUUAAUUUUGUGGACCUUAGAAGCUACAAAGUUUGAACUUGGCUUGUGAAGGUAGACUUAGCUUAAUAUUGUAUAAGAACUCAUCAAUUAUUUAGAUUAACCUACAAUAAAACAAAAACACCUUUCUUCUUUAUUUGAGAAGAAUGUUGGCACAAGACAACAGAAAACUUGGACAUUACAACAAAUAUCUUGUUGUGUUCUAAAUUUGGAAGCAAAUAUCUUUUGCAUUUAGCCUUGUGAUGUAGUGGCUCUGUUAAUUUAGAAGGUGCUUAUACUUUUAAGUCUUGGAUUCAAAUUAUUGCCAAGAUUGUGAAAAGUCUAUGAGAGGGAUGGGUUAUUCUGUAGGUUAGCAAUUGUUGAAGAAAUAUGGAAGGAACAUAAAUUUUGACAUGACAUUUUUUAGGAAAAAGCAAGUUGUGAGUGGAAUAAUAAUAAACCCUCAAAAAUGCUUUUUAACAUUAUUCAUUGAUACCAAAUCUUAUAUUUAAGUUGUUAAGAAACAAAUUUAUUCAAAAACUUCCCCUAAUAGUAGUUUCUAUCUUUUGCGUAUGUCCCAUGAUUAUGCAUAGUUAAUUGAAGAGGUUUCUAGGAUUAAGGGUUUUCAAAUCUUGCAUUAAUCUUUCCAUGGAUAUUAAUGCAAUUAAGACCUUAUAUAUUCAUUUACAUUGUAACGAGUGAAAAAUAUAUUUAAGUACACUUUUCCUCUGCAUGGUAUCAAGGCAACCUUGGGAAUUAAUUUAAAGUAUUUUUAAUUGUUCUACCUUUAUUUCCUCUUGUAUGCACCCAUUGAUUCACUUAUGGAAGUGUUAUUAGAAGUUGAGAUAUCCAACAAACCAAAGACAUCAAUCCAAUCUGAUAAAGUUCCUCUUAGGAUAGGUUUGUCGAUGACGGGGGAACUCAAACAUAUUCGCUCUUCUUAUCGAUUGCAUGAUAAGUAGUUAAAGUGGUCUCAAAUGGUUCGUACAUUUCUCAAAGGAAAGGGAAAACUCAAUCACUUUUUGAGCAAUGGUCCAAAAUUAGAUGACUAACAUUCGUCAUAUGGGAUGAGGAAGAUUCGAUGGUAAAGUGUGGUUAUGGACAACAAUGGUGCCAAAGAUUAGUGAUAUAUGUAUGUUUCUAACCACAACUAAGGAGAUUUGGGACGUGAUUCAACAAACAUAUUCAAAAAAGAAUCAUUUGACACAAAUAUAUGACAUUAAGAUCAAGCUCAUAACCAUUCAACAAGGUAGUUGCUUUGUUAUUGAAUAUACAAACAUGUUGAUGAAUUUAUGGCAAGAAAUGGAUUACUAUAGGUGUAUUACAAUGAAGAAUAGUGGCGAUGUUGUCACACUCAAACUUCAUUUGAAAGGAUAAAACCUAUGAUUUUUCAAUUAGGCUCAAGGUUGAAUUUGAUCAAGUCCGAGUAUAGAUUUAUGGCAAGGAAGAAUUACCUUAAAUGAAAUUAUUGUCAUUAUUAGAAUCAAGGAGAGUGGGAAGGAUGUUAUGCUAAAUGAUUCAACCAUUGAAGGAUAUGCAUUAGCUACUUUUAGACCCAAAGAAACGACAUAUACUCGACCAAUAAUCUCAUUUGUUGAGACUGACAAGCAAGAAAAUAAGACCAAUAUGUUUUACAAUUAUUGCAAAAUGAAAAAAGGGAUAUGUCAUAGAUUGGUGUUGUAGGCUUCAUGGAAACCACCAAAUGUUGGCCGAAAUGGAGGAUCCAAUAAUUGAUGGCAAAAAGGGUAGGCAAACCUGACAAAUCUAAAUGGUGAUAGUUUAGAACAGCCAGAGGUGUCAAGCAACGAAGUAUUGAAUAAAACUAAUAUUGAGAAGUUGAGGUCCCUAACUGACAACCUUGAGCAUAAAGUACAUGUUCAUUUGCACAAUCAAGUAUGUUUCCUUCCACACAUAUAGUUAGUGCCUCAAAUUAUAAUAACUUCCAAGUCUUGGAUAUUAGAUUUUGGAGUGACUAACCAUAUGAUGCACCUUUCACUUUACUUUUUCACUUACACCCUAUGUCUUAGUUUUAGGAAAUUUUUGAAUGUAGAUGGGUCAUAUGUAACCAUAGUUGGAAUAUGAAAUAUCAGUUUAAACCCUUCAAUAACUUUAAGUGAUUUCUAUCAUGUGCCAAAAUUUGAAUCUUUAUCCAAAUUCUUACAAGUCAAAUGAAUUGUAGUAUGACUUUUUUUUACCAAACCAUGUGUUUUGUAAGACCAAGUCACAAGAAUGAUGAUUUGGUGUGCCAAGGAGUGUAGAGAUCUUUACUAUCUUUAGAUGCCAAAUAAUAAAUAGAAAGUCACAAUGCCUACCUCAUUGUUGUCCAAAAUAUAUGCAUCCAAGCACUUUUAAAUUGGCUUCACCACUAUCGGAUGGAUCAUCCUUCAUUUAUUGUUCUAAGUGUGAUGUUUCUUUUCCUAUUUAUAUUGUGAAUGUUAGUCAAUUUUGAUGUGGCAUUUGUGAGUUUUCCAGGCAUAAAUGUGUUUUGUUUUCAACAAGUAAUGAAAAUUUUUGUUUUUCCCUUUCAUUUACUUCAUUUUGAUGUAUAAGGAUCUUAUGAUGUCUUAAAUGUCUGAGGGGCUAAAUGGUUUGUUAUGUUCAUAGAUGAUAACACUCGAGUCACAUGAGUCUCUUUUAAAACAAAAAUCUGACAUUAGCAUUGUGUUUCACACUUUUUAUAACAUGAUUUAAAAUUAAUUUGGAGUUAUGAUUAAGAAAAUAAGAUUAGACUAUGCUAGGGAUUAUUUCAAUUGAACACUCUUAUUUGCAAAAUAAAGGAAUAAUCAAUGACUCAUUUUGUAUUGAUACCUUUUAACAAAAUGGGUAGUUAAAAGAAAAGUGGAUACCUCUUUAGUACAUCUUAUUCCUUUUUACUUCAAAAUAAAGUUCCAAAGUGCCUAUGGGGUGAGGUUGGUUUUUACAUCAACUCAUUUUAUUAAUUGCACUCUAUCUUGAGUUCUUGAUUUUCAAAAUCCUUGGAAAGUUUUACAUAAUCACAUGGAUCUUCGUUGGGUGUGUUGCAUUUAUUUAAAUUUAUAUUUAAGAUUGACAUAAACUUUACCCAUGACCAAUUAAAUAUGUUUUUGUGGGAUAUUCCCCUACUAAAAAAUUUACAAAUAUUACCAUCCACCGCUUUGAGAUUUCUUCAUCUUGGCUAACAUUACUUUUAUGGAAUACUAGUGUUUUUUUGGCUCAGGCUCGAUCAUAGUUUGAUUUGGUUGGGCUCGAUCAUAACUCAACUUGGUUGAGCUUGAAUGGAUCAAGCUUGAGGUAGGAUAUUAAGUUUGGUUGGUAAUCAAGUCAAAAUCAAAUUGGGAUAUAUUUGGUUCAAUAUAGCUUGCGGGUCAAGCUCAAUUCAACUUGGUUUUCAAAAUGGUCAUUUUGGUAAAGGUAAAAACAACGUCAGUUUAAUAAUGGUCAAAACAUCGCUUUGAUAAUGGUGAAAGUGUUAUUGUUUUAACCAACCCUUCCCCUACUAUAUCGGUUUCUCAAUCCUUUAUUUGAAUAUGGAAAUUUUAAUUUGAUUUCCCAAUUUUACAAUCUAAAAAAUAUUUUCCAAUUACAAAAAUUUUUCCCCUAGUAUCAAUUUCUUAAUGAUUAGUCAUUAACUAGUUGCAUAGCUGUAUUGACAGUGGACUUUAUCACCUUCAUGAGUCAACUUUUUGUUUAUUUUUAUUUUUAUCUUGUUUGUUAAUUGUUGCAUAGUUUUUCAUUGCCACGAUUUUGUCAUCACUCCAAUGUCCAAUAAAACCCUAAAUCUAAACUAACUUGUUUUAAAGUGAAACAACUAUUCCCUUUUUGGUUCUUUGUUGCAUGCCAUUGUCUUGGUGCAUGUGAAUGAAUGGUUCAUAGUCCUGACAGGCUUGUAUUUGAAAAUAUGAUUAUAGGUGUCAAAUGUGAAAAUUGUCAAUGAGAUUGUUGUAUUUAGAUUAUUUUGUAAUGUUUGGAAGAUAAAUAUUUUCAAUGUUUGAGGAUAUUGUUGAAAAUAAAUUUUCGGAGGGGCAUUGUGGAUUCAUUAUGAGGUUUGAAAGAACAUCAAGGAGCUCAAGUUGAUUGGCCUGAGCUUGUUGCUAUAGUAUCAAAUCUAAUCAAGUUGAGUUCAAGCAAGCAUCAUCUUUCGUAUUGAGCUCAAGCUUCGACUUUUAUUUGUUAAACCAAGUUCGAACUUGGUUCAAUUUGAAAAAAAUAGACAAAUAUUUUGUAACCUAAUUUUUUUUUUGGGUGACAAAUGUGUAGUUUUAUUUGUGUUGAUAUUUCAAUGUACAACAUAAAUAAUAUUUUUAAUUUAUUAUAUAUUAUUAUAAUAAAUAAUCAUGAUAACUACUUGUAAA